GGCUAUGCCUGUGAUUUCAUUGGUGCAGGGGAUCCUCACUGGAAAAUGGCCUCCACCGUGCAGAUUGGACAGAUCUUGACAAAUCAGUCUCAGAGAGUGUCUGGGAGCUCUGAAAGAUCAGGAGGUGACUUAUCCAGGAUCACACAGCCUGGAAAUGUCAGAGGGAGGACCAUAGCCCAAGGUUUCUAGACUCUGAGGCAGAAAUGGAAAACUAUUCUGCCAACAUUGUACAGUGGAUAUGUGUUUGGUGUGAUUCUUACUCACAAAACAAGAUCUACAACUCAGUAACAAAGUACUGCAAAAUCAGUUGAUGAGGGAGAACGUGCUAAAGAAGGCAAGGGGACAGAGUGGCAAUAGGGAAAGGCCCUGUGUAAGGGAUGGCUGCUGAACCUUGAAGGUUCUAAAAGGUUCUAAACAGGGUGACAGUUGGGUGGGCACAAAGGGAGGGGAUGGAACAACAGGCCAGGUGGACUGGAAGAGAGGUGGGAUGAAGGGGAAGAAGAUAGAACAAGACUGAAAGAUCAUGUGGGAAGCAGCCUGUGGGGGUCCAGGCUGAGGACAAGGCCUAGGGUCCUGCCAGCCCACAAGCGCACACUAAAUAGCAACUUCAGAAGCCCAUAAAGCACCAUUCUCAAGGCCCCGUAGAGCAGGGGACAAGGGACGGUGACAGGGCCGGCGGAAAGAACAGCCUAUUUCAGUGCAAGGAAAGUGGUCCAAAAAAGGGAUUGGUUCCCUCAAGAGAUGGGGCUGCUUCCUCCUACUUAGAGGUCUUCAAGAAGACCUUGGAGGACCAUUCGUUGAGUAUGUUCCAGCAAGGAUUCCUUUUGGGUUUGGGGUACCGGUGGGCCUACAUGGUUUCUUCCAGCUCAGAUUCUAUACCUAUCGAGGGCGCCAUAUUGGUAGGGUAUCAGUAAUGCAAACAAGUGCAGCCAAUGCAUCCUUCCACAGAUCUGUCAUUGAGGGCACUGAGGUGGAAUGGGGAUAGAGCCCUGGACCCAUAGUCAGGAAAACCCAAAUUCAAAUCCUGCCUCAGGCACUUGCUAGCUAUGUAAUCACCGGCAAAAUCAUUUAACCACUAUCUGCCUCAGUUUCCUUGCCUGUAAAAAGUAGCUAAUAAGUCAUAUUGCCUCAGAGGGCAAGUGAGGUUUUUCCUUUAUAAAAUGAGGGGGUUUCAACAGAAUUUGAACAGAGGGAAAAAAAAAAAAAAAAA